CGAGCGGAAACGACACUAACAAUCCUUCGGGUGCGUUAAUGGGCGUCGAGCGGCGGACGGGUGAGUAAUGCCUAGGAAAUUGCCUUGAUGUGGGGGAUAACCAUUGGAAACGAUGGCUAAUACCGCAUGAUGCCUACGGGCCAAAGAGGGGGACCUUCGGGCCUCUCGCGUCAAGAUAUGCCUAGGUGGGAUUAGCUAGUUGGUGAGGUAAUGGCUCACCAAGGCGACGAUCCCUAGCUGGUCUGAGAGGAUGAUCAGCCACACUGGAACUGAGACACGGUCCAGACUCCUACGGGAGGCAGCAGUGGGGAAUAUUGCACAAUGGGCGAAAGCCUGAUGCAGCCAUGCCGCGUGUAUGAAGAAGGCCUUCGGGUUGUAAAGUACUUUCAGUUGUGAGGAAGGGUGUGUAGUUAAUAGCUGCGCAUCUUGACGUUAGCAACAGAAGAAGCACCGGCUAACUCCGUGCCAGCAGCCGCGGUAAUACGGAGGGUGCGAGCGUUAAUCGGAAUUACUGGGCGUAAAGCGCAUGCAGGUGGUUCAUUAAGUCAGAUGUGAAAGCCCGGGGCUCAACCUCGGAACUGCAUUUGAAACUGGUGACUAGAGUGCUGUAGAGGGGGGU
rnacentral:rRNA from 1 species